CAAGCGCAUAACUAAAUUAUCACAACUAUUUCCCUUCGCAAUUAUAUUUAUUUCGUACUUUGCAUUAUUCCGAGAAUUAAAUAAAUAAUUCCCCACAAUUAAAUUAUCGGCCCAAGGAUUUAAUUAAUUUGAUCCAAGUUAAUUAUUAUCUAAGCCCUCCUUAUUUCUCUCAUUUAUUUUGUAGGCCUAAAAGGAUUAGCCCAAAUUAAUAUAUAUCCCCAUUUUAUUUGACAAGGCCCAUUUUUUUUAAAACAAAAGGGCCCAAAAGAAAAAGUCCAACUUACUCCCAUCCUUCACGUCUCUUUCUCUCUAUCUCUCCCUCUCUCUUCUCUAUCUCUUUGACUAAAUCGAGCAAAUUCUCCCAAUUUCCGUCGCCUUAUCCAAUUCGCUCCACGCCGCUGUACCGUCGGGCUCCUCCGCCGCAACCGUCGCCCCGACGCCGUUGUACACCGUCGAAGGUCGCACAGAGCCGUCGUCAGCCACUGCCCGUCGCUGCUGCUGUACCGGAAUCGAUGCUGCUGCGGUCUCCCUCCCGGCGUCCAGCACCGAAGCAUCAGCCGCUACCGGCUCCAAUUCGCUGCCCCGCGUACACCGCCGUCGUCGCUCGGCGUCGCCGCUCCAGCCACAAUUUCAUGUAUUCAACCCUUCGCAUAUUUUAAAAAUAUGAUGACUAAUAAUAGGCACCAUAUCAGAACAACGAUAAUUUGUAUCGGGAACUAAUUAAAGCCAAGGCAUACAAAGAAUCAACUAAUAUCGACGAAACAGUAACUAGAAGUUCAACCGGGUAAGACGAAGUUGGUCUAGUUCUGAAGAUGUUGCUCUCUUUGUUACACUAAAGGGGGAUGGAAAUCGGAUAGUGGAUUCCGGUCAAGUUAUCGGUAGAAGCUCGAGGCCUAGCUGAAAGUUAGCCCUCACAUAAUUUCAAAGAUAGCAUGGAAGAAAAACUACUACUCACUUGUUGGGAUACUCGAUAGGAGCAGUGUUGGCUUCAACAGUCACGAAGAUUUCAAAAUUGAUUGUGAUUAUGAUUAGUGGGAUCAGAUUGUUAAGCACAACAACAAUGCUUGGGGUAUGCGUGGAAAGUCCUGGCCAUAUUGGAACGAUUGGAAAUUCAUAUUCGGGAAGGACGAAUCAGUCACCGCGGUGGAGAAGAACUUCCAAGAAAGAGGCAUCAUUGCUGAUAUUGACAGUUCCAGUGAUUACCAAGUCUUCAUAGGCGACAUAUUUGCUAUCCAAUUUGUUGGAGGAGCCGAGCUUGAUAAAAACAGUACUUCUACUAACCAAAAUGAGCCCCCUGCAAAAAAAAUGUAGUCGUAAGCAUAAACGGACAGAUGAGGGAGAUGGCAUGUUGAAACUACUUGGAAAAUUGCAUGCCCAGACCAAUUCUCUAUUGGAUACUCUAUCAAUACGCAUUGGAUAUGACAUGGACCUUGACAUAGCUAGACAAGAAAUAUUUCGUCAUCUGGAUAACAUGGCAGAACUGUCUGAUGCACAAAGGUACGAUCUAUGUGACAUCAUCAGGAAGGAAAACUCCCUACUGGAGAUCUUCAUAUGGCUGCCCGUCAUGAAAGAAACAUGGCUAUGUCAUCCGAGUCAUGGAGAAGGAAUACCUUGCCUGAUGUUGGUCCAAUUGGUGAUGCUUUGAUGUUACGAAGAAAUCUUAUGGUUUAUUUCGACAGACGUGAAGCCGCUUCGAUAGACGUGAACACCAUGUUCAUAUGAUAUGCCAAUGUAAAAAAGACAAUGAGCACUUACAGGUAGUAUCUCAGUCCACACGCAAUCUCUUGCUAUGAGCAUGUUCGUUUGCAUGUCCCAGUACAUGUCAGCCACAUCCAGCACCUCCUUGAAUAUCUUGUUGCAUUUUUUCAAAAAAGUGCAGUCGGCCACAUAGAGCAUCUCAAUCGAAUGCAUACCUUAGUUUGUGCAAGAUAAGUGACUCGGUCUCAAGGAUGAAGUGGCUGGGAAGCACCGUGCCAUCCCAAUCAUUUAUGAUCUUCAGCCUAAUCAUGGUGUCACACGACAGUGAAUCUAGAGCCGGAGUCCAGUUAGCCAUGUAGAUGAACGUGGUUUGUGGGGGUAGGUUGGUUUCCAUGGUUUUGUAGUGAGUAAUAUGCAAACAAAGAGAGUUUUGUGGGUUGUUGGUCUAAGGUGUUAUAUAUAUAAGCAAACCUGGAUGUUUGGGCACGUACAUUUCCAUUAAAUUAAUAUGCAAGUUGGAUUUGGUAGUAGUAUCAA